rnacentral:rRNA from 1 species
GAUGAACGCUGGCGGCGUGCCUAAUCCAUGCAAGUCGAGCGAACGGACGAGAAGCUUGCUUCUCUGAUGUUAGCGGCGGACGGGUGAGUAACACGUGGAUAACCUACCUAUAAGACUGGGAUAACUUCGGGAAACCGUAGCUAAUACCGGAUAAUAUUUUGAACCGCAUGGUUCAAAAGUGAAAGACGGUCUUGCUGUCACUUAUAGAUGGAUCCGCGCUGCAUUAGCUAGUUGGUAAGGUAACGGCUUACCAAGGCAACGAUGCAUAGCCGACCUGAGAGGGUGAUCGGCCACACUGGAACUGAGACACGGUCCAGACUCCUACGGGAGGCAGCAGUAGGGAAUCUUCCGCAAUGGGCGAAAGCCUGACGGAGCAACGCCGCGUGAGUGAUGAAGGUCUUCGGAUCGUAAAACUCUGUUAUUAGGGAAGAACAUAUGUGUAAGUAACUGUGCACAUCUUGACGGUGCCUAAUCAGAAAGCCACGGCUAACUACGUG